UUGAGCCAAGGAUAAUUUGAAGUUAUCCCUGUCUGAGAAGAUGUUUUGUGUGAGGAGUUCUGAGUUACUGAGGCUCAG
ensembl:snoRNA